AUUGAACGCUGGCGGCAUGCCUUACACAUGCAAGUCGAACGGUAACAGGUCUUCGGAUGCUGACGAGUGGCGAACGGGUGAGUAAUACAUCGGAACGUGCCUAGUAGUGGGGGAUAACUACUCGAAAGAGUGGCUAAUACCGCAUGAGAUCUACGGAUGAAAGCAGGGGAUCGCAAGACCUUGUGCUACUAGAGCGGCCGAUGGCAGAUUAGGUAGUUGGUGGGAUAAAAGCUUACCAAGCCGACGAUCUGUAGCUGGUCUGAGAGGACGAUCGGCCCCACUGGGACGGAGACACGGCCCAGACUACUACGGGAGGCAGCAGUGGGGAAUUUUGGACGAUGGGCGCAAGCCUGAUCCAGCAAUGCCGCGUGCAGGAUGAAGGCCUUCGGGUUGUAAACUGCUUUUGUACGGAACGAAAAGCCCCGGGUUAAUACCCUGGGGUCAUGACGGUACCGUAAGAAUAAGCACCGGCUAACUACGUACCAGCCGCCGCAGUAA
rnacentral:rRNA from 1 species